rnacentral:rRNA from 1 species
UACAGAGGUCUCAAGCGUUGUUCGGAUUCAUUGGGCGUAAAGGGUGCGUAGGCGGCGCGGUAAGUCGGGUGUGAAAUCUUGGAGCUUAACUCCGAAACUGCAUUCGAUACUGCCGUGCUUGAGGACUGGAGAGGAGACUGGAAUUUACGGUGUAGCGGUGAAAUGCGCAGAUAUCAGGAGGAACACCGGUGGCGAAGGCGGGUCUCUGGGCCGAAAUUGACGCUGGAGGAGCGAAAGCGUGGGGAGCAAACAGG